AUGCACUCCACACUUCUCUUCUGUGUGGCCCUUUUAUUCUGGACUGCAAGCGCCGUGGACACAGGGGUCAUUCAGAAUCCUAGACAUCUGGUCAAAGGAAAAGAACAGAAAGCCAGAAUGGAUUGCAGCCGCAUAAAAGGGCAUAGCUAUGUUUACUGGUAUUACAAGAAGCUGGGAGAAGAGCUAAAGUUUUUGGUUUACUUUCAGAAUGAAGAAAUUCUAGAAAAAACAGAUAUGUUUGACAAAAACAUUUCAGCCAAAUGCCCCACUGACAAACCAUGUUUUAUAGAGAUCCAGUCCAGUAAGCCCACAGAUUCUGCUGUGUACUUCUGUGCUAGCAGUUUAUCCACAGUGCUGACUGUUGGCUUUUCUUAG